ensembl:lncRNA
CUUCCUUCUGUUUCUGAUGGAUCUCUUAUAUUCUGGAUUUGGAGUAUAGUUGAAAUGUCUAGGCUUGAUUGUUGGGAGAAAGGCACUGUCACGUUAGAGUGUGUGAAACAUGGGUCUCUAAGAAGGUAUGAUUAGCUUCCACUUUCUCAGUCCUUGGCAACAAGGCCAAGAAGAAGGGGAAAGUGGAUUAAUCCUUUAAAAAAGCAUAGAAGAAGAGGUUAGAAAAGUUAGAAAGGUCAAGUGUCUUGGAAACUUUGAGUGGGAAGUCCAUCAUUUUAUCUUUAGGACACAAGGUAAUGAUGGUGAUGAUGACAAUGGUCAUGAUGAUGAUGAUGAUGAUGGUGAUGAUGAUGAUGAUGUACUAUGAUCACAUAAAAGCCUUUCAUCUGCAGGCUCAAAGUGCAACACAACCACUAAUUAAUCCUGAAGGCAAGGUAGGCAAAUAUCAUUACCUCCAAUUUGCAAACUAGGAAUCCAGGCAGGAGGAAAUUAAACCCUUAACCAAGGUCAUCUCAGAGUGAAGACUAGAAAUGAAAUGAAGAGUCCCUGCCUCCUUACUUUCCACUGGCCACCUCAAAGGUGGCUACCGAAGGGCUUGCUUUUAUUCCACAGGCAGAGCCAGCUCCUUGCUGCAUCUGACCCUUUUCUUUACAGAGUUCAGUGAGGGCAGGGGAGAGACCUUAUAGACCUCCACUACAGACUGGUUUUGAGAACUGCCACAUCUCCAACCAUGGAAGCAGAAGUGUGGAAGGCUGAAGGAGUGAAGGGCCUGAUGUGCUUCCCAUCUUUCUACCUCUGGCAGUCACUGUAGGGCUACAUGCUAAAGAUGGCAAAGCUAAAGAACGUAUGUUCCUGUGUCCCCCACUUGGCAGGGAAUCACCAAGUAACAUCCACAUUAGACUUCAGGUCUACAGGUGUGGAUGAGAAACAUCUGGCCAGGAAACCAGGCUGCCAGAAUCCCCGGAGUAAGGGCACUCAGCCACACCAUCAGGAAAGAGGAAGCUCCUCAGCAGUAUUCUGGCCAGCACUCAAAUUCUUCAAGUUUGCAAACCAGGGAACUGCUUCAUGCACCUGCCCUGCCAAGGGUCUUCACAAUGAGGAAGAUUACAUCUCUGAUUUCCCAAUCCUUUAUGAGACCAGGGCAAACCUGGAAUCUCAACUCAGCAGUGUGUACAAACUUCUCAACAUUGAUUCCUUUGGAGAGAGCUUGAAGGUCCAGGGGCCCUGAGACUUCGCUCAUAAACCCCCUAAAAUAAUUGUGAACAAUCAUGUGCCCUCUUGCAUAUUUUUGAAAACACUGACGCAAGAAUUUGUAUCAUCAAUUUCACAGCUGUGAAGGUUGAACGUUCCCACAUAUGUUAUGUGCUUUAAAUAGUUGCAGACUGGGGCACCUGGGUGGCUCAGUCUGUCGUUAAGCAUCCGACUUCAGCUCAGGUCAUGAUCCCAUAGUUUGUGAGUUCAAGCCCUGGUUGGGCUCUGUGCUGACAGCUCAGAGCCUGGAGCCUGCUUCGGAUUCUGUGUCUCCCUCUUUCUCUGCCCCUCCCCUACUUGUGCUCUGUCUCUGUCUCAGUCUCUCUCUCUCAAAAAUAAAUAAACAUUAAAAAAAGUUUAAAUAGAUGCA